rfam:Arabis alpina cultivar Pajares scaff_49655_1_contig_0, whole genome shotgun sequence.
AACCCGUGAUGAGGACAAUCUCUCUGAUAUCCCUUGAACCUUUCCCACGCAGCUUUGAAAGAUUCCGUCAGAUUCUGAACGAACGUUGAGAUCUUAGCUCGUAGCGCGACU